rnacentral:rRNA from 1 species
ACGGGUGAGUAAUGUCUGGGAAACGUGCCUGAUGGAGGGGGAUAACUACUGGAAACGGUAGCUAAUACCGCAUAACGUCGCAAGACCAAAGAGGGGGACCUUCGGGCCUCUUGCCAUCGGAUGUGCCCAGAUGGGAUUAGCUAGUAGGUGGGGUAACGGCUCACCUAGGCGACGAUCCCUAGCUGGUCUGAGAGGAUGACCAGCCACACUGGAACUGAGACACGGUCCAGACUCCUACGGGAGGCAGCAUG